ACGGGUGAGUAACACGUGGGAACGUACCCUUUGGUUCGGAAUAACGCUGGGAAACUAGCGCUAAUACCGGAUACGCCCUUUUUGGGGAAAGGCUUGCUGCCGAAGGAUCGGCCCGCGUCUGAUUAGCUAGUUGGUGGGGUAAUGGCCUACCAAGGCGACGAUCAGUAGCUGGUCUGAGAGGAUGAUCAGCCACACUGGGACUGAGACACGGCCCAGACUCCUACGGGAGGCAGCAGUGGGGAAUAUUGGACAAUGGGCGCAAGCCUGAUCCAGCCAUGCCGCGUGAGUGAUGAAGGCCUUAGGGUUGUAAAGCUCUUUUGUCCGGGACGAUAAUGACGGUACCGGAAGAAUAAGCCCCGGCUAACUUCGUGCCAGCAGCCGCGGUAAUACGAAGGGGGCUAGCGUUGCUCGGAAUCACUGGGCGUAAAGGGCGCGUAGGCGGCCAUUCAAGUCGGGGGUGAAAGCCUGUGGCUCAACCACAGAAUUGCCUUCGAUACUGUUUGGCUUGAGUUUGGUAGAGGUUGGUGGAACUGCGAGUGUAGAGGUGAAAUUCGUAGA
rnacentral:rRNA from 1 species